rnacentral:rRNA from 1 species
AUUGAACGCUGGCGGAAUGCUUUACACAUGCAAGUCGAACGGCAGCACGGGAGCUUGCUCCUGGUGGCGAGUGGCGAACGGGUGAGUAAUAUAUCGGAACGUAUCCAAUAAUGGGGAGUAACUAGUCGAAAGAUUAGCUAAUACCGCAUACGCCUGAGGGGGAAAGCUGGGAUCUUCGGACCUAGCGUUAAUGGAGCGGCCGAUAUCUGAUUAGCUAGUUGGUGGGGUAAUGGCCUACCAAGGCGACGAUCAGUAGCUGGUCUGAGAGGACGACCAGCCACACUGGAAACCUGAGACACGGUCCAGACUCCUACGGGAGGCAGCAGUGGGGAAUUUUGGACAUGGGCGCAAGCCUGAUCCAGCCAUUCCGCGUGAGUG